UUCCAGUUAGCCUAAUGGUUAAGACUAUGGAUCGCCAAUCCGGAGACGGCGGGUUCGAUUCCCGUUCCGGGAA
rnacentral:tRNA from 1 species